GACGAAUGCUGGCGGCGUGCCUAACACAUGCAAGUCGAGCGAGGAGAGUUCCUUCGGGAACAAACCUAGCGGCGGACGGGUGAGUAACACGUGGGCAACCUGCCUUGUAGAGGGAAUAGCCUUCCGAAAGGAAGAUUAAUACCGCAUAACAUUACAGUUUCGCAUGAAACAGUAAUUAAAGGAGCAAUCCGCUACAAGAUGGGCCCGCGGCGCAUUAGCUAGUUGGUGAGGUAACGGCUCACCAAGGCGACGAUGCGUAGCCGACCUGAGAGGGUGAUCGGCCACAUUGGGACUGAGACACGGCCCAGACUCCUACGGGAGGCAGCAGUGGGGAAUAUUGCACAAUGGGGGAAACCCUGAUGCAGCAACGCCGCGUGAGUGAUGAAGGUUUUCGGAUCGUAAAGCUCUGUCUUCGGGGACGAUAAUGACGGUACCCGAGGAGGAAGCCACGGCUAACUACGUG
rnacentral:rRNA from 1 species